rnacentral:lncRNA from 1 species
GAUCAAGCACCCAUCGACCUAUCAGGCAUCGAUGGGCUUAGUCACGGUCAAGUAGUUGAGGCCAUUGCUAAGGCAGCUGAGACUUUUGGAUUCUUCCAAGUGGUUAACCAUGGUGUGCCCUUACAGUUGCUGGAGUCCCUUAAGGACUCGGCCCACUGGUUUUUCGGGCAGGCUCCGGAAAAGAAGGCCCUUUAUCGUAAAGGAGUGAGCCCAAGCCCAUUAGUGCAGUAUGGGACUGGCUUUGCUCCCGAGGAGGAGGAGAUCUUGGAUUGGAGGGACUAUGUUAGCAUGGUGUACACCAAUGAUGAAGAUGCCCUUAAACAUUGGCCUAAUGAGUGCAAGUAAGUUGUUAAUUAUGUAGCGUUUUAUGUACCCAUUUUCUUUUACAUCACUGCUGCUAGGGUUUUAGAACUUGGAAUUCAAUUUUUUUUUUAAAAUACAUAAUAAAUGGUUCAGAUUGUUGGUGCUCAUGCCACUCUGAUACCACUUGUUGGUUCUCAUGCCGCUCUGAUAUCACAUGUUGAGAGCCCAUGCCACUUCAAUACCACUUGUUGGGAUUUAUACCACAUAUUCCACCCGCAACGAAAGCAUCCACAAUAAAAAUAAACACAUUAACACUCACACACCCAGAAUAAAAAAAAAAAAAUCAAAUUUACGUACCCAGAAUGUCUACAUCCACAUGAGAGAGAAUUACACGAAAAAAAUGGAUAAUACAUAUAAAAUGAUCAAAAUACCAAAAACUUAUACUCAAGAGUAGUUGAGUAUUCCCUCACCAUGGUGCCUUAUGGUAUUUUUUAUCUCAUUAUAGAACUAUUUUUCUCUCACCACUCUCAUCUCUCUCGCCAAAACCCAUAGCCCCUUUUUUAUUUAGGAAACCCAAUGCAACUAGAAAACCCACUCAAAAUAGAUUUCUCACUUAAUGAACACUUCCAAUUUGAUAUAUAUUCUUACCCCAUGUAGAAUUUUCUUUUUCUAUAGAAUUAAUAAACCUUACAUCUUGUUAUAAGGUUAUGUAGGUAUAUAUUCUUACCACAUGUAGAAUUUUCUUUUUCUAUAGAAUUAAUAAACCUUACUCCACUUUCCAAAUCCAGCUUUGUAUAAAAAAAAAUAAUUAUAUAGGUCCUACAUCACACAUGGGUGGACUUAUCCUAACAUAGAUUCACUUAGUUAUGUAAAAAUUUACAUACUGAACCAUUCCUUUUAAAUUAUGAGAACUUUUAUCAUUCUAAAUUUUAAGAUAUUAGGGUUCUCCUUUUUUUUAAUCAUGCAUGGCUUGAUUCCAUACCAUGUUCUUGGCCAUUAUACAACCACUGGACUCCUCUACGUGUGUCUGAGCAGUUAUCUAAGUCAAAUCGAAUUCAAGUGGACGCAGACUCGGCCCAACAGAUAUAUAUAUAUAUAUAUAUAUAUAUAUCAUCAGAUUUUGAUUAAAUUGUAUGAUUUUAUUUUUUACCAUCAGACACUUGAUACCUAAUCAAGGAGGUGAGUUAUGUGUCUUAUACUUCCGUAGGACACUUGUUACGUAUUUGUAUUUAACAUUGUCACCUGUUUUCAUGAUUGUUAUAAAAUGAAUAAAUGCAUUUUUUUUAUAUUGAACAUCAAUUUGUCAUACGAUAUAAUCAAAUGGGAUGAAAAAUAUAUAUAUAAUUUUUUUGGGCCGAGUAUGCGUCCACUUGAAUUCGAUUUGACAGUUAUUUAUCUAUCUAUGUAUCUAUCUAUCUAUAUAAAUGGGCGGAUGUAUCAAGGGGCAAGUGGGGUCACUAAAAAAAAAUUACACUAUAAGUCUACAAAAAAAAAUUACAUUAUCACACCACAGGAAAAAAACACACACUAUUUUUGACCCCACUGAAAAAAAUAUACACCACUUUUGACCCCACUGAACUAAUAUUCUAGCUCCGCCUUAUAUAUAUAUAUAUGCCAAAUAGAUAUAAAUUGUUGACAACUAAAAAAAAAUAGCCAGCUAAAAUAAUUGACACUUUUAUAUCUAGGCCAAAUAGCCCAGCUUUUUGGCGAAUUAAGUAAAAGUAAGCCAAAAGUGUUUUUAUUGUUUAUAACUCGAUAUCCGGUCCAAGAACCGAUUAAUUCGUGGACCAAUUCCACCUUUCACUUGCGAGAAUCCCAAUUAAAACCGGGACAAAGUCCCAUAUGGAGUGGCCCAACUCCAGAAUUAAUAGCAUAACACCUAGAAAACUUCAAAUCUAAGAUUAUGAAAAAGAGCAUACCUUCAAGCCGAUCUUAGACCUAGAACAUUAGUUCAAUCUUUUGAGGGUUAACCAAAACGGGUGUCUAAGCCUGCUAAUAUCUUCUUGGAAACACUUUUUGUUUUCACUCCUUGGUUGACACUACUAUACUUGUGAAUAUCAUGAACUAAAGACAAAAUUUAUUUAUGGCUAUAAGGGAAGUGGUACUUGAAUAUUUGAAGACAUCCACCAAGAUUGUGAAGAAAAUAGUGCAAGUACUAUUUGAGCAUCUGGGGGUGACACUGGAUGAGCCAAGAAUGGAUGUACUUACUGCCCAUAAAAUGGUGAACAUGAACUUCUACCCAACAUGUCCAAAUCCCGACCUCACUGUUGGCGCGGGGCGGCACUCUGAUAUGGGCCUCCUCACAAUUUUAUUACAAGAUGGCAUUAGUGGUUUGUACGUUAAGCUGGAACAAGAAGAACCUGAAAAUGAAGGAGAGUGGAUGGAGAUACCUCCUGUCCCUGGUGCUUUGGUCAUCAAUGUUGGUGAUAUUUUACAGGUUAGAGAUUAUUUACAACUUGAUCAUACACAUGCAUAUACAUAUCUCUCUUUUAGAAGUUCAUGAUUAGGGCACACAUUGGAAUAACAUUUUAGUAAACGGAUUUUUUAUAAUUUUAAUUUGCAAAAUAAACUAAAGCCAAAGAAGUUAAAUUCUCUUUGGGAUAUCAAAAAAAUAAGAUGCUUUAUACGCCAAAAGAUGAUUUGGGUAUUUGCUUUUUUAUUUUUCUAUUUUGUACCAAAUUAAUAUCUUUCCCUUAUUAAAUGUUAAACAAUGCCUUAGUUCUUUCUAUUGACCAUCAAGAUCUUCUACAAGCCUAUGUUCUUAUCUCCCAAAUACAACCACAAGAAAUCUCUAAACACAUUCACUUCAAAGGCAAUAUUGUGAAAUUAAUGAGAAGUUAUUGGUAAUAUUAGGCCACAUGAUCCAAGAACCUUAAAGAUAGACCUACCAUCAAGUUCAUGUAGCCCACGCCAUGGCACAACUUUAAAUUAAAGCCUUUGCACCACUUGUUCAAGACUACCAAAUGUAUUUUAAAAUUAAGAGUGUAUUAUGAUAAGAGGAACGUAUAAAGACGUUUCAAGGACAAAUAAGAAUCAUGUGCCUCAUUGACCAUUCUCUUUUAUAUGUGUAUGGUUUGAUUUAGAUAUUAAGUAAUGGAAGGUACAAAAGCGCUGAGCACAGAGUUCGUACCACAAGUACACAAUCAAGAGUGUCCAUUCCCAUGUUCACUCACCCACAAUCAACCGAGAAGAUUGGGCCUUUGCCUGAGGUGGUGGAGAGAGAUGGUGUGGCUCGUUAUCGAGAGCUCAUAGUUGAGGAUUACGUGAACUACUUUUUUGAGAAAUCUCGUAAAGGAAAGAAGUCCCUUGAUUUUGCUCGUAUAUAAUCACUUCCUACUCAUGUGACUGAAAAGUCUAUAUCUUACUUGUGUUGUAUUAUGUAGCUUUCUUAGUCCCCUUCAAAUUGUUGUGCCACAGGCUAGUCCGUUUCUCUUUUGUGUUAGGAUUCGAAUAAAAUGUAUGUUUUAUCUCUAAGUUUAUGUACUACAAGUUGGAAAUGGUUUGUCUAUAAAAUGACACUUGUUCAUUACAUAUGCAGAUCAAAGCAAAAUAUAUUGGCUUUGUUCUAUAACGUUGCAUAGAUGAUCUGAGUUCAAGUCUUAUCAAAAUGAUUACAGAAGUAAGACUUAAAAUGCGAAGGUCGGUAAAAUGUGAAAAUUGAAUAAUAUCCCCUCAAUCAUGGCCCAACUUGUUGUUUGGGGUGGACACCGCCCAACCCAGACUUCAGUAAGCUUUUUUGAACAGUUGGAGAUUGUUAUCGAAGGCCAAUGAGUGGCCUAGAUUUUUUUUUGUGUGUGAGAAAAUUAGAUCAUGAUCCUUAAAUAACACGAAUAAAUAAUUAUUCCUCAAAAAAAUCCAUUUUAAAUAACUACUAAUCUAUCAUCUUUAAUAUAAAACUUAGGUAGACAAAUUAAUAGUAUCAAUUUUUCAAAGCAGAAAAUAAUAAAUUAUCAAUAUAAUUUUUAUAUUAAAAAAUAAUUAGUUUUUAAAUUAUCUCGUGGACAACAUUACCACUAUACAUUACCGUUGGUAUCGGCCGCCACUCUGAUAUGGGCAUCCUCACUGUUUUACUCCAAAGAUGGUGUUUGUUGUUUGUACAUUAAACUAGACGAAGAAGAUACAAAAAUUGGAAAGGAGGGAAAGUGGAUGGAGAUACCUCCUUGCCCUACUUCUUUAGUCAUCCACGUUGGUAAUACCCUACAGGUUAGACCUUACAACUUUAUAACAUGUAUAAAUACUAGCUGUGAUGGCAUGUGCAAUACCUAUGCAGAAUUGAUUGCUAAAAUUAAUUAUUUUUAUUUUUUAUUUAUCUAGCAGUUAUAAUAAUCAUAAAGAAGUUAUCAACAUUUAUUUUGUGAAGAAAUUUUUUAUGUAUAAAAAAGUAUGAAUCAACUUUAAAUUUGAAUAUACAAAUGUUACCUUUUAAUAAUAGAAUAUAUAUUUGACAAGUUCAUAAUUAGCUAUUGGUUUGGUACUUUGUAUAAAAACACAUAAUUUUUCGUUUUUUAAGAUGAAUUACUUUACUUUUUUCUACAUUACUAUUUUGUCUUCGUUAGAUGUCUUGAAUUACUAUACUUUUUUAAAUCGAGAAUAUGUUUGUGGUGGUACUUUGGCGGCGGUGGUGGUGGUCAGCGGUUGGUGAGAGAGAGAGGGGGAGAGGAGGGUUAGGCGGUGGGGUGGUGAUGUCGGCCUGCUGCGAGGGGGAGGGUGGGAUCGCACAGAUCGCACGGGUUCGGUCGCGUAUCUGGUACGGACAGCGAGACGCUGGAAAAAGAAAGAAAGAUGGGUCUCGGCUGAUUUAGGGUUUUUAAACCCUAACUACGCUUCAGACCUUUUAAUUAAGUAAGUAUUUCCUAUUAUACUCAUUAAGUUUGAAAAAUUACAAAGACUCCCAAUCACUCCAAUAAGCAAUAAAAUAAAAGUUUCAAUGAUCUCCAACCAUUUCCCUAGAUGCAUGCUUCUUAUAUAAAAAGUCAUGGUUGUUUGUCCCGCUGAUGGCUUUUACAAUAUUGUACCUCAACCUCUAUAAAGUAGACUAUUAUUGUAUUACCACCAUCUUCGACCUAUUAAUUUAAUGGGAACAAGCUAUGUUUCUUUAUUUCUAUUUUAUAUUAACUACUCAAUAAUAAUCAAUAAUAAUAAUGAUUAGAAUAUAUAAUAUAAGAUAUAAAUAUUUUUAAAUCUUUCAAAACUACAUCUCACUAUCUACGGUUGAAAUCCAUUUAAGUUAAUUUAAUGACUGAGAUUUCAUCUAAAACUAUUUUCUCCCCCAAAAAAAUAUCGCUUCCUUUUUCUCAAAUGUGUGGGACCCACAUAUAUUGUGAUCUAAUGGCCAAAAAACUUUUAAAAUUGGACAUAUUUUUUACCCAUUAGAUCAUUUUUUCAGUGGGAUCCACACAUAUAAAAAACUAAAAUAUUCAAUUUUUUUUUCUCUUUUCUCCCAAACUAACAAUAUUUUUUCAAAAUCAUUAUACUUUUUAAUUUGUUCUCCAUUUUGUAGUAAUGUGUCUAUUCGUCUAUGCAUGCAAUAUAUCUCUUAUCUAACGUUUAUAUCUUAUCAGUUUUUAAGUUAUAAAACUUUAACGAGUAUACCUUAGAGAUGAUAUUUUUUUGCAUAGUCCCGUGGGCACAGACAAUUACUAGUUUAUACUAAAAAUCAUGACUUUUUGGUAGAAAAAUUAGUUUUUUGACUUAAUUAUUUGUUAAUAAAUUUUGUUAUUCCAUUAUGAUAUUUGUGGGUUAUGGUUUCCAUUAAUUAUGUUAGCCAUUACUAUAGAUGUUAGUCCAAACCACAGCCCAUGCUGGUGAGUCCAGUCCACUUGGAUGAGUCCAAAGUACCAGUAGCCAAGCCCAAACCCGAUUGGAGUUCAUAUGGAGUGUCCAUGUGACGGGACUCCCUCGAGUUUAUCUAGAACUCUUGGAGCGUCUUUAUAUCUUUUUGUUUUCCUAGAUAAAUUAGAUAAUGAUUAGAUAUUCUGGUAGGGAGAGUCCCAACCACCAUCCCUUCCUGUCUAUAAAAUGGAUGGUAGGGUUGCUUUAGAUUUCCUACGUUGCGUUGUGUUGUGGGCUGAGAGCAGAUUGCUGUGAGGUUGAUUAGAGGCAGACAGAGAGAGAUUGUGAGAGAAGGCGUGAGUUGAUAGGAGUCGAGUUUCCUCCGUUUAAUCAUUCGUCUUCGACUAGUGGAUUGGUGAUUUUCUCUCCGUGGAGUAGGCAAAUCGUUGGCCGAACCACGUAAAUCCUUUAUUUGUCUUGUGGUGUGUGUGACCGUAUUAGUUUUUUGGAAGCACACAAUGGUAGCAGAGCCUAUGAGAGGUGAUUCGGAUCCCAAAGUUCAAAUUCGGGUGUCCGGGAGUGCUCAAAUUAAUUUUUGAUUGCACCAGUUUGUUCUCUCAUCGCUACAGAACGGAGCUCCAGGCACCAACCCGCGUCGAAAACGGAUUUGGACGCGCCCCGUCACGAGCCCGUUUGAAGAACUCGGUAAGUGAGAUCAGUCUCAGCCAACGCGCCCAGGAAAGGUCCCACGCGCUAAAACCACGCAGCAGGGGUAGAAUCUACGCGCCCGCACACGUCAGAAGAGGCCAACCUCAUUUGGGGGGUGCACAGGGCCACCUCGUGAGAAGGUGCAAACACUUUGGUGAGAGGUGUAUCAACUUCGGUGGGAAUUUGAUAGCCCGUUGAUGAGUCUAUUGUAUCUCGUAUUCUGUCUUGCAUCUUAUGGGGGAGCUGGAUCAAAGCUUCAGGGACGGAUACUGAAACAUUCGGAUUACCCUCCAUGGGCUGAAGGGGAGAUUGUUGGGUCCACCCAUCUGGAAAUGAGUUCCAAGAGUCCAGUAGCCGCAAGCCCAAGCCGCGAUUGGAAGUUCAUAUGGAAGUGUUCCAUGUGAACGGUUGAACUCCGAGUAUCUAGAACUCCUUGGAAGUCUUUAUCUUUUGUUUUCCCCUAGAUAGAUUAGGAUACUGAUUAGCUUCUGGUAGGAGUCCCACCACCAUCCUUCCCCUUGGUCUAUAAAAGUAUGGUAAGUGCUUAGAUUUGCUACGUGCGUUGUGUUGUGGGCUGGAGAGCAGAUUGCUGUGAGGGUUAGAUAGAGGCAAGAAGAGAGAGAUUGUGAGAGAGGGCGUGAGUUUUAGAGUCGGUUCCUCCGUUGUAAUCCAUUCGUUCGAAUAUGGAUUGUGAUUUCUCCUCCUUGGACUAGGCAU